AAACCGACACAGGUAGUCAGGUUGAAAAUACUAAGGCGUUCGGGUGAACUGUGGUUAAGGAACUCGGCAAAAUGCCCCCGUAACUUCGGGAGAAGGGGGACCCUAUGGCGUGAACACUCUUUGCGGUGGGAAGCGUUGUGGGGUCGCAGAGAAUAGAGGGAAGCGACUGUUUAUCAAAAACACAGGUCCAUGCGAAGACGUUAAGUUGAUGUAUAUGGACUGACGCCUGCCCGGUGCUGGAAGGUUAAGAGGACCGGUUAAUCAAGCUUUGCUUGGUGAAGCUGAGAAUUUAAGCCCCAGUAAACGGCGGUGGUAACUAUAACCAUCCUAAGGUAGCGAAAUUCCUUGUCGGGUAAGUUCCGACCUGCACGAAUGGCGUAACGACUUCCCUGCUGUCUCAACCACAGGCCCGGUGAAAUUGCACUACGAGUAAAGAUGCUCGUUACGCGCGGCAGGACGAAAAGACCCCGGGACCUUCACUAUAGCUUGGUAUUGGUGUUCGGUUCGGUUUGUGUAGGAUAGGUGGGAGACUAUGAGACGUGUGCGCCAGCACGCGUGGAGUCGUUGUUGAAAUACCACUCUGAUCGGAUUGGAUACCUUAACCUUGGCCCAUGAUCUGGGUUGGGGACAGUGCCUGGUGGGUAGUUUAACUGGGGCGGUUGCCUCCCAAAAUGUAACGGAGGCGCCCAAAGGUUCCCUCAGCCUGGUUGGCAAUCAGGUGGUGAGUGUAAGUGCACAAGGGAGCUUGACUGUGAGAGUGACAGCUCGAACAGGGACGAAAGUCGGGACUAGUGAUCCGGCACCUACUUGUGGAUGUGGUGUCGCUCAACGGAUAAAAGGUACCCCGGGGAUAACAGGCUGAUCUUCCCCAAGAGUCCAUAUCGACGGGAUGGUUUGGCACCUCGAUGUCGGCUCGUCGCAUCCUGGGGCUGGAGUAGGUCCCAAGGGUUGGGCUGUUCGCCCAUUAAAGCGGCACGCGAGCUGGGUUCAGAACGUCGUGAGACAGUUCGGUC
rnacentral:rRNA from 1 species